AGUGAACGCUGGCGGUAGGCCUAACACAUGCCAGUCGAACGGCAGCACAGUAAGAGCUUGCUCUUACGGGUGGCGAGUGGCGGACGGGUGAGGAAUACAUCGGAAUCUACUUUUUCGUGGGGGAUAACGUAGGGAAACUUACGCUAAUACCGCAUACGACCUACGGGUGAAAGCAGGGGAUCUUCGGACCUUGCGCGAUUGAAUGAGCCGAUGUCGGAUUAGCUAGUUGGCGGGGUAAAGGCCCACCAAGGCGACGAUCCGUAGCUGGUCUGAGAGGAUGAUCAGCCACACUGGAACUGAGACACGGUCCAGACUCCUACGGGAGGCAGCAGUGGGGAAUAUUGGACAAUGGGCGCAAGCCUUAUCCAGCCAUACCGCGUGGGUGAAGAAGGCCUUCGGGUUGUAAAGCCCUUUUGUUGGGAAAGAAAAGCAGCAGGUUAAUACCCCGCUGUUCUGACGGUACCCAAAGAAUAAGCACCGGCUAACUUCGUG
rnacentral:rRNA from 1 species